CCUGUACCCAUACCUCUUGGCUCUGUGGGCCAGACCUCAUCCCUCGGAAACCUCCAGGGGAGAACAAAGGGCUCCUCCAACUCUGGCCAGGAAAGUCAGGAAAGGAUGCAUCUGUCUACCUUUGGAGCCCUCGAUUCAAAGACCCACCUGCCUGGAAGGGGCUGGAGAGGUGUGGAGAUGGGAGUUCCAAGUGCCAAGGGUCACCCGGUGCGGAGGCCUGAAUAAUAUUCCAUUUUAUGGAUUUACCACAUUUUGUUGAUCUGUUCACCUGUUGGGGACACUCGGGUCGCUUCCACCUUUUGGCUGUUGUGAACGAUGCUGCCGAGAACAUGACUUCUAGAAGCCACCUGUGUUCUUUGACCCAUGGCCCCCUUUCAAUGUCAAGGCCAGCGACGCCCUGGAGUCUGACGCCACUCCUGCUGUCUUGCCUCCCUUUCCACACUGAAUAGAGCCUUGUGAUGACACUGGGCCCACCCAGAUAACCCAGGAUCGUCUCUCAUCUCAAGAUCCCUACUUUACUCACCUCUGCAAAAUCCCUUUGGCCAUGGAAGGCUGCUGCGUGGUCUCUGGCGUGAGUCAGGCAACCAGGUUGGCUACCACGACAAGAUGCAAAAUAACAGUGACGUAGACAUGGGGAGAUUUUAGUCGUUGCUCAACAAAUACAGUCUCUUCCUCACCAACGUGUAAGUUCCAGAGGUCAAGGAUGGUGCCUGCGUGGAAUCCCUGUGUGUCCCAGGAACACGCACCUGGUCAAUGAAUAAAUGAAUGAGCCAUGCAUGCUUGCAGGUGUUUGUGGAGUGUUUGUUACUGGGCACACUUGUUGCUGGGAUACACAGCUGAGCAAAACACAACCGGAUCCUCCUGCACAUUGCUUACAGGGAGACAAACUUUGCUCAUAUAAUCACUCCUGAACAAGCAGAAUCCAGUACACAGGUGGGCCCUGUGGAAGCACCGUCAAGGCCUUGCUGCAUGGCCUGCAGAUGCCAUGUCCUCCACACCUGAGGAUUCUGGAGGCCGGCAGGGCUUCUGGACAAAUCUGAGCACUUGCACUCUGGAGGCCCUGCCACAGUGGCUACUGCCCACCACGGACGAUUCUGUAGACCCUGCUUAGAAGAGACUGGCCAUCCAGAACAGCUCUGCUCCCACCCGGAGACUCAAGACUCCGCUCAGGAGUUCAGACUGUCUGGCAGCAGCUGUGGACUGCAGGGGUGAUGGCCGUGGCUGGCACCUGAGGCUGCAGCUCUCAAGACCUUGGUCCGAAGGAUGGGGGCUUCCACUCCCAACUGUGAGCUCACUUGCUGGGAAACUUGCCACACCCAGUGUCUGGACAUCAGAUGAACUUGCAGCCUCUUCCUUCCUUUCCCUUUCCGGUAUUUUAUUGGUGGAGGGCCAUGGGCAUCAGACAUGUGGGUUUUGGGGAGGGAGGUAACGGCAGAGUGGGGUUGGUGAGUAUCAGCCCCUCCUGCGAGCUGUGGGUGCUGCUGUGUGUUAGACAUCCCUGCUAGCUCCCUGUCCCACAUGAGCCCCCGGGUCCUCACUGGGCACUGGCCUCAUUCUCUUCUGGGAUCUCCCAGGCCCUGCACACAGUAAGUGGGCAGCACACAGUCACGAUGGCCACUUUUAACCCCACCGCCUUGAUCAAGACCUGGAGAGCUGGGGCAUCAGAGCGGGGGUCGACAGACUCGGAGGCCAACUGGCCUGGGGUUGAGCUAUUGUUGCCGACAUGGAACCCGAUCCAGUGAUUAAUGGGUCCAGGAAAUGAUCCCUAGCUCAGCUGGCCAGUCCGGGCAGCCUGGCAGCACGGGCCCACGCGGUUCAGGGGAUGGCCAGGAAGGCCUGCCGUGGGAGGGCUGGCGGGGGUGGCUGGCUGAGCUGUGGCUACAAUGCUGGGGCCAUGGGGGUCUGGGGGGGUAUGGACCAAGGGCCCCUUUCCAGGAAUGCAAUGCCCGGCUCCCUCCCUUCUCCCGUGUCUCCUAACAGGGCCCCCCGCCCCUCUCAGUUCCUCCAGGCUUCCUGCCCACAGCUCUGGACCGCUGGUGCCAAUGUGGAGGCAGACAGCUGGCUCCCUAGCCAUCCCUGAAACCUGUCCGAGCCCCUCCCCCACCUCCUGAUUCUAGAUGUCCUCAUCCCCACCCCCACGCUCAAAGGCUCCGGGAGUCUCCCGGGGCACCCCUUUGCACACUGUGGAGUCCUGUGGCCACCCUAGUCGCACGCUGUCCAUCCCUGGGGGUAGAACUUGAACAUCCAGGGUGAGGGGUCCAGGUUCCAGGCCCCGGGGCCAGGCCAGGCAGCCAGGAAGGUGCCCUGAGCUUCGGUCCUUCAGGGCUUGGCACGAGUGAACGUCUUCCCAGGCCAUUGUGUUGCAAUCCUUCUUGGCCACCGACCUCUGUUUCUCUGGCAAUUGCAGGAUUUUGCCGCUGUGAUUUGGGCAAUGUUUUUUUCCUUCUAAAUCACCACUCUGGAAGAAGGGACUCAGCUCAGAAUGAGCUGGCUUCCAUUGUUUCACUUCUUUCCACAAACAGCUCCACAGCUCCCCGCUAGGUACCCGUCCAAGUGUUUCCAGGCAUAAUGGCAGCCCAGGGGUCACCCUGAGGUGGGGCUGCGGCUAGGGCUGCGUGGUUCCCUGGGUUCUGCAGGUCUGACCUCUUGGGCCUGGAGGUUUCCAGGGCGUAGCGUUUGGGCUGCUUCUUGAAGCCCGCUCUGCUCGUGCGCCUGCUCUGGUUGAGCACUUCCCGAGCGCCUGCUGUGUGCGGGGCACAGGCCUGGCGCUGGUCUCCAGUAUCAUUCUAGCCCCACCCUGAGCACUCAGAGGAGCAGACACCUGACGAACGAACGGCAGGACUGGGCUUCCAGGCUGGGUCUGCACCCCCAGCCCCCGCCUCACAUCACUGCGUGCUCAGGGAAGGCGAGCCCGGCCCUGGUAGCUGGGAUUCCUCCCAGGUGCACGUCCUUCACAGUUUCUGAGUCCUUCUCAGAGCCGCUGUGAUCUAGGGCGCCGCUGCAGACUCUGAAGUCCACUUAGUGAUGACUUAUUCCCAUUCCACGCAUCAGUGGCCUCGGGCUCAGAGAGGUCAAGGUGCUUACACAAAGCCGCACAGCUGUAAGUGAUGGGGCAGGGGCUGGACACCAGAUCUGUGUGACUCCUGGUGUGAAGAAGGCCAAACUGGGGCAUCACCACCAGCCUCUGUCCCAGGUGGGAGGUUGGGGAACAGCCCCGCUGUACGUGAAGGGCCUGGUCAUGUCUGGCCUCUCAAGGUGCCCCCCAAAACGAACCCCUCCGUCUCCAUCCCACUCAGUUACGGUGGGUGACUGGGGACUUGCGGGGACAUGAGCCUGAGCUCAUGUUUGGUUCCAGUGAUGGGGAAACUGAGGUCAAGAUGGAGCAGGGUGGGGUUGUGAUGUCCUAGGCCCUUCCAGUGCUGCCGUCCCAGGAUCUCAGUGACGUCUUUUUCUGGGCCCCAUGAUGUUUGCAGCAACACCAAAAGGCCUCUCUGCUCCUUCCUCAUGAGAUCUUGGGCUCUGUCCAAGGCCAACUGAAGACUGGAAAUGGCAAAGAAAAGUUGGUCCCUGUCAUCCUCAAGGGGACCCGAUGCUGUUGGGAUUCUUGGCUCCCCACAUCUGCCUUCCAUGACCUCGCUGUCACCCCGGUAGUGGACAGAGGGGAAGAGGGAGUCGUGGCAGCACUAGACGCAGGCACCGUCCUCGCCCCCUCACUUCUGCCUGGGCCGGCGAUUGUUCUGGCCCCACUACCUGGCAGGGCUGAAGGCAGAGGUUGGGGUGCUCACCUUGCAGCUCCCUCAGGGGUUCUCCAAGAGGGGCUUUCCCAGCCAGGCCCUUCCUCCGCGCCUCCCUCGCCGCCCUCCUUCCUCUUACGGGUCUGCGUGGUCCCAGUGCCUGCUAGGUGGAUGCUUUCUGAAUAAAGGCAUAGACCUUGUGGGGUAGGACAUGCCUAUGCUGAAACCUAUUGACAUUUUAAUAUUCUGCUAACAAAUGAUACAA
rnacentral:lncRNA from 1 species